rnacentral:lncRNA from 1 species
CCAUCACCUUCUGGACAAAGCAGAGCAUGAAGCAGAGCUUUUUGGCAUUUAAAAAACUCCCUGUCUCCAAGCUUCAAAACUCUCAAGGUAUAUCAUUUGCAUGAUGAAGGGAUAAGAAAAUUAUGAACCGUCUGUGAAGAAUCGCAGGUGGACAGACCGAUCUCUUGAGAUGAGCUUUCCACUUCAGCUAUCCAACCUCUUUUGACCAGAGUUCAUUUGGCCAUGCUGCCUAGUAGUAGAUUUUUUUUUUUUUUAAUUUACUGAACAGAUCCAAUCAACGUGUGGUUUUCAGCCUCACAUGCAAAAGGUAAGCCCAGACAAGUGAUAGGAAUUGCUUCAAAUCAAGGAAUGAUUUUCAACAGCAAAGUCAAGUCCCAGCUUCCAGGACCCACUGUCAUCACUUUAGGAGGAAGAAAAAAAUACCAACUAUGUUUGGCUAGGCUUGACAGAGAAAGAAACGUAAGGCGGGCCCUCAUUUUCAUCUCCUGAAAGCGUCUCAUGCCCAGGCUCUCGGUAGCUUCUGUUUUCUCUCUCCUGGGCUCACGGGGUGGGCUUCUGGAUACAGGAGCAACGGGGAACCUCUGAGCAUCAACUUGAAAAAGCAGAGCUGCAAAAAGGGGGAAGAAUGGGAUGCUUUCCAAGCAGGAGGACGUUGGGGGUAUGAUACUUAGACACUAGAAGAUUUCAGAGGGAGGAGAAGUCCUAAGGCAGUUUGCUUGCCUGGAAAGAAGGCAACUGCAAAAGAACGCCCUCAGGAGAAGGAGCGCAAACGCAGGGAGCCCAAGGCGGCUUCUGUGCCGGUUUCCUUUUGAGAAAGGGCCAGUUGGAAGCUGAUGUCUGAGCAGCACGAGAUGGGGUGAGGAGGCCAAGAAUGCAGAGGACACUGAUGCACAGAAGGGGAGACGGGAAGUAUCCCCAGUCUCAAACCCUCCCCAAUUCCGCCCAGGGUCCACGCCGCCUGAGAGGGGGAAUCAGAGAUGGGCCCCCUCAGAUCCUCUUCAAACUGUGCUCAGCUUCUAACUCC